UACGUAGGGUGCGAGCGUUAAUCGGAAUUACUGGGCGUAAAGCGUGCGCAGGCGGUUUUGUAAGCCAGAUGUGAAAUCCCCGGGCUUAACCUGGGAAUGGCAUUUGGGACUGCAAGGCUUGAGUGCGGCAGAGGAGACUGGAAUUCCUGGUGUAGCAGUGAAAUGCGUAGAUAUCAGGAGGAACACCGAUGGCGAAGGCAGGUCUCUGGGCUGACACUGACACUGAGAGACGAAAGCUAGGGGAGCGAAUGGG
rnacentral:rRNA from 1 species